AGCUGUUAAUGUCAGUAUGAAGGGGUUGUUAAGGGGUUGGAGAUGUCCUCGAUGGAGACCAGGGAUCUGCUCCAGGAAGCAGUUUUACUGAAUGAUGAGAUCUGGAUAUUUUCCGAGUAGAGACAACGGCUGCUCAGUCCAUGUUCCAGGACCUGAUGGUGUUCCAGGUUUUACUUGGGGAAAGGAGCAGCAGCACAAAGGCGUCUGCAGCAAAGGACACGGACCAAAGGACGGGAAGGACAGGCGUGAGAGAAACAGUGGUAGAGCAACAUGUACAACGAGGGAGUUGGACUGUGAGCUCAGAGAGGACGGAGCUGGAUGUACACCUACUUGCCAUGCUGGUGUCGAUUAAGAGAAUAUUCGAGAACAGCAAACAAAGAAAAUUGUGAGUUGCUGGGGAACGAAGGACUGGAGAAGCACAUUUCACACCAAUAACAUAAGUAGUGUGUAACUUGUGUGGUAUUAGUAUUUUUACUUCAGUAAAGGAUCUGUAUACUUUGUCCACUGGUUACUAUUUUAUAACAUAAUACUCAAGCACCCAGACAGUUUUCUCCACCAGACUGGCGUGGCUGUAGUUUGAUCAAGUUUGAGUGACAGUGAUCCGGCAAACUGGUGAAUGGAGGUUUGUAAAAACACUCACCGUGAAAGCUCCUCUCACUUUAAUGCAAUAAGAAGAAAACAGAAAGAAACACAAGGCCCGAGAAACAGCUGUUGUGUGAGACAGCCACAGUCAAACACAAAACACACAUUCAAAUCAGAUCAUUGUUUUCUAAAGUGAACAUACAGUGCAAAAGUCAAAUUCAGGACUAAAUUUCCUUGUGCAAAGUUCUCGUCACCUUUUACAGAGGAGCAAUAGAAAGGCUCCUGACUGGAAGUGUCACAGACUAGCUUGGCUCCCGAACGACUCGGGACAGACAGGUUCUGCAGCGGGUGAUUAAAAUCUCCCCCG